rnacentral:rRNA from 1 species
UACGUAGGGAGCAAGCGUUGUCCGGAUUUACUGGGUGUAAAGGGCGUGCAGCCGGGAGUGCAAGUCAGAUGUGAGAUCCCGCGGCUCAACCGCGGAACUGCAUUUGAAACUGUGCUUCUUGAGUGCUGGAGAGGCAGACGGAAUUCCUAGUGUAGCGGUGAAAUGCGUAGAUAUUAGGAGGAACACCAGUGGCGAAGGCGGUCUGCUGGACAGUAACUGACGGUGAGGCGCGAAAGCGUGGGGAGCAAACAGG